rnacentral:rRNA from 1 species
GUGGUGAUCUGCCCUGCACUUCGGGAUAAGCUUGGGAAACUGGGUCUAAUACCGGAUAGGAGCCAUCUUUAGUGUGGUGGUUGAAAGUUUUUUCGGUGUAGGAUGAGCUCGCGGCCUAUCAGCUUGUUGGUGGGGUAAUGGCCUACCAAGGCGGCGACGGGUAGCCGGCCUGAGAGGGUGUACGGCCACAUUGGGACUGAGAUACGGCCCAG